UGGGGAAUUUUGCGCAAUGGGCGAAAGCCUGACGCAGCAACGCCGCGUGUGUGAUGAAGGUCUUCGGAUCGUAAAGCACUUUCGGCCGGGACGAAAACCUAUUGGCUAACAUCCAAUGGCUUGACGGUACCGGAAGAAGAAGCACCGGCUAACUCUGUGCCAGCAGCCGCGGUAAUACAGAGGGUGCAAGCGUUGUUCGGAAUUAUUGGGCGUAAAGCGCGUGUAGGCGGCUUGGUAAGUCGGGUGUGAAAGCCCUCAGCUCAACUGAGGAAGUGCGCCCGAAACUGCUGAGCUUGAGUACCGGAGAGGAUGGUGGAAUUCCCCAAGUAGAGGUGAAAUUCGUAGAUAUGGGGAGGAACACCGGUGGCGAAGGCGACCAUCUGGACGGAUACUGACGCUGAGACGCGAAAGCGUGGGUAGCAAACAGG
rnacentral:rRNA from 1 species